AACCGCUAGGUAGGCAGGCUACCACCCAAGCUCACGAUGUCCUUGGGAAUCCUGUGCUUCCCGCGUUUUUCGCGCAAACUGAGAAACUGGGUACUAGUGGAAUCGAAUUGAACAUGGCGACGACCUCGAAGUGUACGUGGAAGGAGGUUGAACUCCGUUGUUGGGAUUCGUUGUCGCAGGGAAUUGAUGAUGUUUGUGCCUGUUAAGCAAAACAUAUGUCAUGCCUUAUAUUAAUGGCCUUUCUGGACACGAAUCGCAAAAAUGGCCGCCUAGCUUCGCGCUGGGAACAAAUCCCUCUCGCACUGUUUCCAAUUUAGCCAGGCGACAGCGUCACAAUAUAUGAUACAAAGAUGCUAUUAGAGGUCAAUUCCAAGAAAUCAAAGAAUCAUUGCUUGUCAUGAUUCAGAAUUUAUUCACCAUCAAGAUGUGACAGGAUUGGAUUGGCAAUCUAUUACAUAAAUCACCAGCCAUGGUCUUGUCAACUACAGCUAUUUAAGAAGGUGAAUCACAUCAUUUAAGUGACAAAUUAUCUCUUAUAUUUCAUGGAACUCACAGCAUACCAAAGUCUUAGUUGACUACAUGUUGGAGGUGAUUGUAAAAGA